CAGAAAUGCAUCGAAUGCGUACAACCCCAGUCUUUGCAGUUCAUCAUCGAUGCGUUUAAGGGACAGGUGUUUGCUUUGUCCACACAUCCUUAUGGCUGCCGAGUGAUUCAGAGAAUUCUGGAGCACUGUCUCCCUGACCAGACACUCCCUAUUUUAGAGGAGCUUCACCAGCACACAGAGCAACUUGUACAGGAUCAAUAUGGAAAUUAUGUCAUCCAGCAUGUAUUGGAGCAUGGUCGUCCUGAGGAUAAAAGCAAAAUUGUAGCAGAAAUCCGAGGCAACGUACUUGUAUUGAGUCAGCACAAAUUUGCAAGGUAUGU